rnacentral:rRNA from 1 species
GUGGAUUAGAUACCCUGGUAGUCCACGCCGUAAACGAUGCUAACUCGUUUUUGGAUUUUCGGAUUCAGAGACCAAGCGAAAGUGAUAAGUUAGCCACCUGGGGAGUACGUCCGCAAGGAUGAAACUCAAAGGAAUUGACGGGGGCCCGCACAAGCGGUGGAUUAUGUGGUUUAAUUCGAUGAUACGCGAGGAACCUUACCAAGACUUAAAUGGGAAAUGACAGGUUUGGAAACAGACCCUUCUUCGGACAUUUUUCAAGGUGCUGCAUGGCCGUCGUCAGCU